rnacentral:misc_RNA from 1 species
AAGUCGUAACAAGGUUUCCGUAGGUGAACCUGCGGAAGGAUCAUUAACACAUUUUUAUUUAUUAUUGUUUAUAUAAUAAUAAUAAACAAAAACCCAAACUCCCUUUUUAUUUAUAUAUUAACCUCAAAAAAAUUAUAUAACUAACCUUAUAUAAUAAUAACUCUUUUAUAUAACACCUAACUCUAUAACUACUUGACUAAUUUUCGAUUGUUAAAAGCUCAACAACUUAUUAAAAACAAUUGACUCUCCAAUGUCAAAGUUGGAUUGAGACUUGUGUAUGAUGGUUUUGAGUUUAUCAAUCAAUACAAUUCAUCACUACACUACAAUGAAUUGUAUUCUUCAACUAAUCUUACAACUCUUAACAAUGGAUAUCUAGGUUCUC